UACAGAGGUCUCGAGCGUUAGGCGGAAUCACUGGGCUUAAAGCGUGUGUAGGUGGAUGCCUAAGUACCUUGUGAAAUCCCACGGCUUAACCGUGGAACUGCUUGGUAUACUGGGUGUCUUGAGUCACUCAGGGGCGAGCGGAACAAAUGGUGGAGCGGUGAAAUGCGUAGAUAUCAUUUGGAACGCCAAUGGUGAAAACAGCUCGCUAGGGGUGCACUGACACUGAGACACGAAAGCCAGGGGAGCGAACGGG
rnacentral:rRNA from 1 species